rnacentral:tRNA from 1 species
GGGGGUAUAGCUCAGGGGUAGAGUGCAUGCUUAGUACACACCAUGUCCUGGGUUCAAUCCCCAGUACCUCCA